CACGUAGGGUGCGAGCGUUGUCCGGAAUUAUUGGGCGUAAAGAGCUCGUAGGUGGUUUGUCGCGUUGUUCGCGAAAACUCACAGCUCAACUGUGGGCGUGCGGGCGAUACGGGCAGACUAGAGUACUGCAGGGGAGACUGGAAUUCCUGGUGUAGCGGUGGAAUGCGCAGAUAUCAGGAGGAACACCGGUGGCGAAGGCGGGUCUCUGGGCAGUAACUGACGCUGAGGAGCGAAAGCGUGGGGAGCGAACAGG
rnacentral:rRNA from 1 species